rnacentral:rRNA from 1 species
CACGUAGGGGGCGAGCGUUGUCCGGAUUUAUUGGGCGUAAAGAGCUCGUAGGCGGCUCAGUAAGUCAGGUGUGAAAACUCCAGGCUCAACCUGGAGACGCCACUUGAUACUGCUGUGGCUAGAGUCCGGUAGGGGAGCAUGGAAUUCCUGGUGUAGCGGUGAAAUGCGCAGAUAUCAGGAGGAACACCAGUGGCGAAGGCGGUGCUCUGGGCCGGAACUGACGCUGAGGAGCGAAAGCGUGGGGAGCGAACAGG